CGAGGAGUCCGCGGAGCGGCGGGGUGAAGGUUCCACAUCUGCAGAUUCAACCAACUGCAAAUUGAAAAUAUUCAGGAAGGGACUUCCCUGGUGGUGCAGUGAUUAAGAAUCCGCCUGCCGAUGCAGGGGCCACAGGUUUGAGCCCUGGUCCAGGAAGAUCCCACACGCCGCGGAGCAACUAAGCCCACGAGCCACAACUACUGAGCCCGCGUGCCACAGCUACUGAAGCCCGUGCACCUAGAGCCCAUGCUCUGCCACAAGAGAAGCCACCGCAAUGAGAAGACUGCGCACCGCAACAGAGUAGCCCCUGCUUGCCGCAACUAGAGAAAGCCUGCGCGCGGCAACGAAGACCCAAUGCAGCCAAAAAUAAAUAAAUAAAUAAAUUUAAUUUAAAAAGCUGACCAUUAAAAAAAAAAAAGAAAAUAUUCAGAAAAAAAAUUCCAUAAAGUUCCAAGAAGGAAAACUUGAAUUUGCCGCAAGCCCGACAAUGAUUUACAUAGCAUUUUUAUUGUGUUAGUUACUAUAAGUAACCUAGAGAUGAUUUAGAGGAUGUGUGUCAGCUAUAUGCAAAUAUACGCCAUUUUAUAUAAGGGACUUGAGCAUUCAAGUGUUUUGGUAUCCUGAGCAGGGUCUUGGAACCAAUCUCCCUCGGAUACUGAGAGACAACUAAUUUAUCAGCCAAGGUGAAACAUCGAAGGAUUUCCACCAAAGUGUGGAAUGAUCAGAUUUGUGUUUUGGAAAGCUAACUUCAAUAUAUCUUUGUACGGAAGGCAGGAGGCCAGCUUGCAGGCUUUUAGUCCAGGUGAGAGAUGAUGAACGGUUAAUCUAAGGCUUCAGAGUGUAGUUAUCACAUUAUUAGUAAUUUGCAGAAUUUCUUGAUCGAUAAAAAGUGUGAGGAAGGGUUGAGGGAGAAGGAGGACUUUGUGGUCAAGAUUUCUAAGGUCAGGCAGAUGGCAAUUCCAUGAACAAAUUGCAUAUGUUUUCUUCCUCACUAGACCAAGUGUGGUCCUGGACUGGCAUCAUCAGCAUCAGCUGGGAACUUGUUAGAAAUGCAAAUUCUCAGGCCCCACUCUAGACCUAAUGAAUCAGAAACUCUGCAGUGGGACUCAAGCAGUCUGUUUUAACAAGACCUCCGGGUGAUUCUGAUGCACCUCAAACUUGAAAAACACUGCUUUGGAGUCUAUACCAGGACCUAUUCUUCAAGAGCCACAUAGAUGAGGUGGAUAGACCACCAGAAAACUGAAACCUAGGAAGAGAAGAUCUCUAAAAAGGGAAGAGAAUUCUUGCUUCCAAACCAUUAGGUUCUAAACUGUGAUAAUCCCUGAACUUGGACAUAUAUAAGGACGUGAGAUAUCAAAGAGUAAAGGACAAGAGGGAGAAAGUGGACCUACUGGCCGAGAAGGAGCCUUAGGAAAACCAUAGGACUCAUAAAUCAAAUCCCCAAACAAAUCUCUAUUUUGUCCCUAAUGGGAUAAUGACCAUUCCCAUUUGCCCUCUGGCUAAGUGUAUGGAUGGAGUUGAAGCCAACACUUCCACCAUUCCUCUAAGACUUUUUGGAAUGACAGAAUUCCGUUUCUAUGACCUACAUUCUUUGAAGGGAAUGCCUAUAGUGUGGAAAAAGCAUGUAGCAAGCCCUUUUAACAGUCUGGGUCUUGGUUUCCCCAGACCAAAAAGAAAAUAGAAAUAGAUCAUCUUUAGGACCGUAUGAAGCUGUGUUUUCCUACUAAGAGUGGGGCAGAACAAGGUAUAGUAAAAAGAGACUUGUUUUGGCUUCUUCCCGGAGACAGAGUACUCAUCUG